UUUUCCCUCUCUCGCUCUUUUUCUCCGUGAGUCUUUCUUCAUUUUUUACAAUGCCAUCCAAACAAUUUUAUUCAGUGAACCGGCUCGGGUCACGGAUUGCGUGAAUCGAGCAAGGACAUCUUGGAAGCUGUGAGAUCAAGAGCUACUUACGAUUUAAGCUCCUGUUGUAAAAACAGAAAAUGGAAUGGAAAGAAAGAUGAAGAAAAAAAUCUCAGAUAAGCAUGAUCACAGUGGCCGGUGGUUAAACCGGAAAAAAGCGCACCCUUCUGAGAAAACAAUUUCAAAGUCGCAAUCUAGGAAGCGAUAAGGGGCCCAGGACGGAGUAACUUCAUCGCUCAUGCUGUCGUUUUCUCUGCAUGGAAGCUAAACAACAAAGUCUCGCCGUAGACAAUACAUAUAUCGAGAUCGUCGCCAUGGAUCGAAUUGAAUCAACCUAAAACUACAAAAAGAUUAGGAAGUGAUUUUCCAAAAAUUCAAUGUCAUUGAUCAAUUGUUGAAAGAAUAUUUUCCCGAAAGAUUGCCAAGCUUUAAUACGAUUUUUUUUAAAAAAAGAUAUGUUUCUAUCAUCUUAUAAGAA